GGAAAAGGGGAUGACAGAGGAUGAGAUGGUUGGAUGGCAUCACCGACUCAAUGGACAAGCACCAUGAAAGGCUCUAGCUUAGAGUUUUCUUUUGUUCCUGUCUUUGCCACCCGACUAAAACCUGGAGCUUCCUUUGUGGCCCUGCCUGGCAUGCAGUGACUCCUCUCUAGGAUCUGUUUAAAACCCACAUUGGUGAGAGUCCCUUCAGUGUCAAAUGGAAGAAGUUCUCCAACCUGAGACUUUACCAAAACUCCAGAUUGCUGCCAGGUAGGAAGUUUGUGGUGAAUUGCUCAACAUGUCUAGAAAAAAAGUGUAAAUAUUGACCUAUUAAAUUUGAUCAUCACCCUCUUCUGUUUGUGAGACUUUGAUGACUGAAGACUGUAUCCUGUUGCAAUAGCACAGCCAUGCAGCUAUUAGCCUGAUGCUCCUGACU